CGUUGUUUCUUGGAUCUACUCUCUACUUGGAUAACUGUGGUAAUUCUAGAGCUAAUACAUGCAUCAAGACCCGACGCAAGGACGGUCGCAUUUAUUAGAACAAAACCAUCCGGUCCUCGGACCGUUCUCUGGUGACUCUGAAUAACUGAGCAAAUCACAUGGUCUCGCACCAGUGAUGUAUCUUUCAAGUGUCUGCCUUAUCAACUUUCGAUGGUAGUUUAUGUGCCUACCAUGGUUGUAACGGGUAACGGAGAAUCAGGGUUUGACUCCGGAGAGGGAGCCUGAGAAACGGCUACCACUUCUAAGGAAGGCAGCAGGCGCGCAAAUUACCCAUUCUCGGUACGAGGAGGUAGUGACGAUAAAUACCAAGCCGGGGCUCUUAUGAGUUUCGGCAUUGGAAUGAGAACAAUCCAAAUCUUUUAACGAGGAACUAGUGGAGGGCAAGUCUGGUGCCAGCAGCCGCGGUAAUUCCAGCUCCGCAAGUGUAUAUCUAUAUUGCUGAGGUUAAAAAGCUCGUAGUUGGAUCUGCGUGUCUAGCACCUGGUGCGGUCUUUGAUCGUUACUGGGAUGCGACACAUUGACUGUCGGUUGGCCGUUGAUGCUCUUAACCGGGUGUCAUUGGUGACUGACGAGUUUACUUUGAACAAACUAGAGUGCUCAACACAGGCGUUUCGCUUGUAUAUUUCUGCAUGGAAUAAUAGAAUAGGACCUUGGUUCUAUUUUGUUGGUUUUCGGAAUUGAGGUAAUGAUUAAGAGGGACUGACGGGGGCAUUCGUACUGCGACGUGAGAGGUGAAAUUCUUGGAUCGUCGCAAGACGCACUACUGCGAAGGCAUUUGCCAAGAAUGUUUUCAUUAAUCAAGAACGAAAGUAACGGGUUCGAA
rnacentral:rRNA from 1 species